rnacentral:rRNA from 1 species
ACGCUCGACACCUACGUAGGCAGCAGUGGGGAAUAUUGCACAAUGGGGGAAACCCUGAUGCAGCGACGCCGCGUGGAGGAAGAAGGUCUUCGGAUUGUAAACUCCUGUUGUUGGGGAAAAAGAGGAUGGUACCCAACAAGGAAGUGACGGCUAACUACGUGCCACAGCCGCGGUAAUCUGAGCGGGCUGGCAAGGC